rnacentral:rRNA from 1 species
GACGUAGGGUGCGAGCGUUGUCCGGAUUUAUUGGGCGUAAAGAGCUCGUAGGCGGCUCGUCGCGUCGACCGUGAAAACCCGCGGCUUAACUGCGGGCUUGCGGUUGAUACGGGCGGGCUAGAGUUCGGUAGGGGAGACUGGAAUUCCUGGUGUAGCGGUGAAAUGCGUAGAUAUCUGGAGGAACACCGGUGGCGAAGGCGGCAUCCUGGACCGGUAUUGACGCUGAGGAGCGAAAGC